GAUGAACGCUGGCGGCGUGCCUAAUACAUGCAAGUCGAACGCGCAGCGAAAGGUGCUUGCACCUUUCAAGCGAGUGGCGAACGGGUGAGUAACACGUGGAUAACCUGCCUCAAGGCUGGGGAUAACAUUUGGAAACAGAUGCUAAUACCGAAUAAAACUUAGUAUCGCAUGAUACAAAGUUAAAAGGCGCUACGGCGUCACCUAGAAAUGGAUCCGCGGUGCAUUAGUUAGUUGGUGGGGUAAAGGCUUACCAAGACGAUGAUGCAUAGCCGGGUUGAGAGACUGAUCGGCCACAUUGGGACUGAGACACGGCCCAAACUCCUACGGGAGGCUGCAGUAGGGAAUCUUCCACAAUGGGCGCAAGCCUGAUGGAGCAACGCCGCGUGUGUGAUGAAGGCUUUCGGGUCGUAAAGCACUGUUGUAUGGGAAGAAAUGCUAAAAUAGGGAAUGAUUUUAGUUUGACGGUACCAUACCAGAAAGGGACGGCUAAAUACGUGCCAGCAGCCGCGGUAA
rnacentral:rRNA from 1 species